AUUAAUCUGGUGAUUGAGAUUACAUCGUCUGGGAUUAAGGUUGUCAUCAUAUUGUGAUAAUGCAUGCAUGUUGUCUUUUAGAGGAUUCAUGACAGUAAAACGAUCUGAUUUCCUGUCCAUUAUAGGCUGAGUUUGAACUGAGCAAAAUGAGCAGUCAUGCAAUCCUGCAUCAGGAUGCGACAUAUUACUCAUAAUUGGUUAUUAAAAUCACGAAGCAGUCACAUUGUCAACGUCAACGUCAAAGUUGUGCUAUUGAAUUUAGUCAAUAGUUUCCUUGUCAUUACCUACCAGAUGUCUAGUGAGUAAUGCAGGGCCUAUGGAUCGCACUGAAAUCACCAUUACUUCCUCCAUGAAAUGGGAUGCUUUUUUCUGAGGGAAACGUCUGGAUCUCAAAGAGUCCAUCUGUGUGUUCUGCUGGAAUGUCUGGCACCCCAAUCCAGUGCUGCGUGCCAGUGCAUGUGGGUCGGGGCCCGCGGAGGGCGGCUUUUGUUCUGUUGAUGAAACAGACAGGAGAACAGCUUUUUGAUGAAUAUUCAUUUUGUUCUACUGAUGAAACAGACAGGAGAACAGUUUUCUGGUGGAUAUUUAUUUUGGACUACUGAUAACAGACAGGAGAACAGCUUUCUGAAUGACAUUUCUUUGCCAUUAGGCUGUUUCUGUAUGUUCAAAAAGUGUGUGUCAGUUACUACUGAGUACCCAGGCUUGUCGCAGGCCCUACAGACAGAGAGGCGGGACUAGUCCUCUGUAAAGAGAGAGGCGGGACUAGUCCUCUGUAAAGAGAGAGGCGGGACUAGUCCUCUGUAAAGAGAGAGGCGGGACUAGUCCUCUGUAAAGAGAGAGGCGGGACUAGUCCUCUGUAAAGAGAGAGGUGGGACUAGUCCUCUGUAAAGAGAGAGGUGGGACUAGUCCUCUGUAAAGAGAGAGGUGGGACUAGUCCUCUGUAAAGAGAGAGGCGGGACUAGUCCUCUGUAAAGAGGUGGGACUAGUCCUCUGUAAAGAGAGAGGUGGGACUAGUCCUCUGUAAAGAGAGAGGUGGGACUAGUCUGUCUCUUUAUUAGUCCUCUGUGUGAGAGAAGAACACUAAAGCUCCCCAUAAUCUCUACUGACUGCUCCACAGAGAAACAACAUCACUAAUGCUACAUGCUUUAUGCUAUGCUAUGCUUUAAUAUUGCCAGUUCAAUUUAAUCUUAAUUCCUAUAGCUAUGAUAUGAACAUCUAAUCUGCUUCUAACAGCAUUCACUAUAUAUAUUACAGACUCAUUCUCUCAUUGGAAACCCUUGCAAAGCCUUUUACUGAGUUAGCAAGGAAGCUAAUGAGUUAAGCGCCCUACAUAUUGUAGGGUGAAUAUAGGUUAGUGAGCUGUCUCCGUCGCCCAGACUGCAGGCCCUUCUCUCUCUCUCUCUCUCUCUCUCUCUCUCUCUCUCUCUCUCUCUCUCUCUCUCUCUCUCUCUCUCU
ensembl:lncRNA